rnacentral:misc_RNA from 1 species
UCUCCGUAGGUGAACCUGCGGAGGGAUCAUUAACACAUCCAUACCAAAACUAUCAAACCAAACCGUGAACCAAUUUUCCAUUUUUUUAACCCCAUGAAACAAAUUGACUAAUCUUCAUGAGAUGUGCAAUUCGAUCGAGGCUCGUCCUCGAACGCUCUGCCAUCUUAUAAAAUUAAAUAAACUAAGAACAACUCUUAGCAAUGGAUAUCUUGGUUCUC